GUAGGUGGCAAGCGUUGUCCGGAAUUAUUGGGCGUAAAGCGCGCGCAGGCGGUUCUUUAAGUCUGAUGUGAAAGCCCACGGCUCAACCGUGGAGGGUCAUUGGAAACUGGAGAACUUGAGUACAGAAGAGGAAAGCGGAAUCCCACGUGUAGCGGUGAAAUGCGUAGAGAUGUGGAGGAACACCAGUGGCGAAGGCGGCUUUCUGGCCUGUAACUGACGCUGAGGCGCGAAAGCGUGGGGAGCAAACAGGGAUUAGAUACCCUGGUAGUCCACGCCGUAAACGAUGAGUGCUAAGUGUUAGGGGGGUUUCCGCCCCCCUUAGUGCUGCAGCUAACGCAUUAAGCACUCCGCCUGGGAGUACGGCCGCAAGGCUG
rnacentral:rRNA from 1 species